AAAACACAGUACAAUUUGUAGAUUAUUAUGACAUCUAUUUUUCUUUUCAUUUAAUCUCUCUUUCUCUUUGUUUUUUUUGAUAGAUGAAGGGUCCUCAUUAGCAACAACGAGGGCAGUGAGGUCAUUCAAAAUAUUAAAUCACGAUUCCUGGCCUGAACAAAGACAUCUCCUGACAGAUUAUGGUGCAGAGGAGCUGGACUUCCUGCUGGACCACUUCUCCCCCAUCCUAACAAGAAAUGGCUGUGAUACCAAGCUGGCAAGAGAGGAGUAUCAGUCGAUGAACAUUUUCAUUGUUACAAACUACAUGGACAAGUCAUACCAUGCCCUGUGUGGGAUGAUGUUGACCAAAAUGCCGUUCUGCUCCGACUACAAAAACAUCCUACAUCUUGUACACAUGAUGCUUGCACUCCCAGUGUCUUCUGCAGUGUGUGAGAGAGGAUUCUCUUCCCAGAAGAGGAUUAAGUCAGAUGUCAGGGGGUCUCUUCAUGUGGACACUGUUGAGGACUUAAUCAGAAUUAGUAUGGAGGGACCGAACAUCGAUGAUUUUGAUGCCGAAGAGGCUGUUGACAUGUGGCUCAAUCAGGCUCAACGUACAAGGCCUAAUUACAAGGGCUGGCCAACACAGGCACCUUAUCCCCCACCAAGGGGUGAUCUUUUGUAGGAAGUGUUAAUGCACAAGUUAUGUCUACAACUUGUUCUGUUGUUGUCAGUAGAGCAUAAAUAUUCAUUUUGUAUUUUUAAGCUGUAUAACUGGCGUAUGUUAUUAAAACUAUUACACAAGU